CUCUCCCUCUUGUCCAUGUUUAGACAUGGUUGUCCCCUCCUCUCUUUGUUUAAAAAUUGGACAAAAUUCUUACAACUCUAUUAUAGAGAUUUGGUGCAUGAAUUUUAGGAAGAAAAGAGAAGAAAGGGUUCUUGUCAUGAUCUCUAGCGUAGAGAUCAAGAUCCUCCUACAUCUUCUUGUUCUCUAAGAGUGUCUUGAGAGAAAAGAAGAUUUUCAACC
rnacentral:lncRNA from 1 species